rnacentral:rRNA from 1 species
GACGAACGCUGGCGGCGUGCCUAAUACAUACAAGUUGAGCGAUGAAGAUUGGUGCUUGCACCAAUUUGAAGAGCAGCGAACGGGUGAGUAACGCGUGGGGAAUCUGCCUUUGAGCGGGGGACAACAUUUGGAAACGAAUGCUAAUACCGCAUAACAACUUUAAACAUAAGUUUUAAGUUUGAAAGAUGCAAUUGCAUCACUCAAAGAUGAUCCCGCGUUGUAUUAGCUAGUUGGUGAGGUAAAGGCUCACCAAGGCGAUGAUACAUAGCCGACCUGAGAGGGUGAUCGGCCACAUUGGGACUGAGACACGGCCCAAACUCCUACGGGAGGCAGCAGUAGGGAAUCUUCGGCAAUAGACGAAAGUCUGACCGAGCAACGCCGCGUGAGUGAAGAAGGUUUUCGGAUCGUAAAACUCUGUUGGUAGAGAAGAACGUUGGUGAGAGUGGAAAGCUCAUCAAGUGACGGUAACUACCCAGAAAGGGACGGCUAACUACGUG